AUUUCCGUAACUGUCACAGGACAGUAUCCCACUGGGAAAUAUUGUUUAGAAAAUUAGGUAACAAUACGAUGAUACAUUAUUUCAACAAGUGUCAAGUAAUACAAUUUUUCUAUUGAUGUAGGUACGAAUACAUUUAAUGUCGAAAAAUUUUUAUUUAAAAUAAUACGUAAAGUAAGUUAACUACGUACUUGAUGCGUUCCGAGCGAUUUUCAGUUUAUGAAUUGUGCAUAACUAUUAGAAAAUUACAUAUCUUAGUAAGUUAAUUUUUUGUAAUUUUUAAAUGUGAUUACCUAUAGGACAGUUCAGGUAAUGUGAUAACUUAUUUUGUUUUUAAUCGUCCAUAGUUUUCUACAUACAUGAAAUAACUCGUCCUGACUGACUGACUGAUUAAUCAUCGCCUAGCCCAAACCACUGAGCGGAUUAUGCUGUCGUAAAUACGUAUUAUGACGUGGGUAUCCGCUAAGAAAGGAUUUUGAAAAUUUAGCCCGAAAUAAGGGGGUAAGUAGAGGUUUUUGAAAAAUUUUAGUACAAGAAUUUAAUUGAUUAUUUUUUUUUUUUUGUAGUUAAUUCACAUGGGCUACUUUGGUGAUACGGAAGAAAUAUUUAAAACACUAAUCCGGCAACCCCUAAUGAGAUAAUUAGCUAAUUGAAUUUUAUUUUUAGGUUACUUUGGUGAUAUGGAUGACAAUUUGGUUUUCACGGAC